AACUAAUGAAAUUAAGAGAUGAAGAAAAACUCUGUCGAGGAAUCUCAAAUCUCUAAGCUUCAAUCCCCGCCUUAUGUGCUCUCCAAUGAUAUCUCCAAGUCUCUAAUAGAAGUGUCUCCCAAUGUUGUCAGUCGGAAGAUCCCUUAAAACAAUCCAAAAAAUAUAUAUAUAGUCCCUAACAAAUCCUAUUACAUAAAUUAAAAAUCCUUAAUUGAGUUAACUUUAGCCAUUAAGGAAACAAAUCUGCGUAGAUCCCGUCAGACUGGCGCGACCCACGCCAGUUUCCUUCCUUGAUUGGUGCACCCUGUACUUGGCAUGCAGUCCCUUUCUCCAGCCUGGCGCGGCCCGCGCCAUCUCUAGGGAAACUUCGGCACCCCCCGUGCUUGACUAUCAGAUCAUCCAAUUUCUCCAUGCUUUUCUCCCUUUUUCAUCCUUUUUGCCCCGUCAUGCUCCUUUCACUACAAAUAAAAACAAAACAAUAAAAUGUAAAAUGUACUCCUCAAGAAUUAACAAAUACUAAGCUAAAAAGUACCGACUAAGUAGGUUUUAACCCACUUAUCAAAUACCCCCAAACUUAAGUACUUGCUUGUCCUCAAGCAAUUUAACAUAACUACUCUAACACAAAC
rnacentral:lncRNA from 1 species